rnacentral:lncRNA from 1 species
ACCAUUUAUUUUGGCUUAGUUCAAAAUUAUGUGAUCCUAAAUCCAAAAUUAAAAAUGGUAAAUUUAAGUUCAGUACACACAAAUGUGCUCUGGUACUUAGAGUUCUUCGCAUUUGUGUUUAUAUUAAUAGGAUUUUUCUUGUUCUUCCUUUAUUUAGCCAGUUUAAACUACGUGAGGUACGGUCCUAAAUACGACUUUAAGAAAAAAUACAUGGCAGAUGGCACCUGGUUGUUGCAAGCAUAAAAUGUGAUGGUACUUACAGAAACCAAAGUAAUUCCGAAAGUAACAACAUCGCCUAGGGUGCGACGUGUAGUGUCACCUCGACGUGUCAGGCCUGUGUGCUGUGAUGUGGGAUGCAUUUGGUUCUGCGGAAUCAUCUUCAGCAUCCUCGCCGUUAUAUCGUUUAUCCUUGCAAGCUCUAUUAGGUUUUAGGAUUACUAAAUUAAGCAAGCUGGUUUGAAUCUACAGGAGGGUAGCACCGUCGCCUAGGGUAAGUCGCCCAGUGGUACCUCCGCGUGAUAACAAGCCUAUAUGCUGUGACGUGGGAUGCGUUUGGUUCUGUGGAGUCGUCUUCAGCAUCGUUACCAUAGGACUGUGCUACUACUGCGCGUAUGCGCUUCUUUCUGACACCAAACUUAGGUUUGGUCUGUUCUUAUAGUGUUGUAUCAAUUUGGUGAUUGUCUUGUGAUCGAUAAUCAAUGAACUGUACAGUGGUGUGGAAAAUUCGUGAAAUUGUAAUUUUGUGUUGUUUUGUUUUGACUGUACAAUCAUGGAGUAUAGAUAGUAUUUAAUUUGUUUGUUGCUUCGUCUUUUUUUGGAAACUUUUUUGUAAUCCUAUUUUGAAAAACGAAAUUGCGUUUUCUAAAAUAGCAGGUAACAAGUAAUUUACAAGUUCCGUUCUGUUAUGAUAAGUGUUACCAAUGUG